UUUGUUCUUCAGGGCAGGGUGCAAUUCCCUACCGGCGGUAAAGCCCGCGAGCCGAAAGGCAUGAUUUGGUGUAAUUCCAAAGCCGACAGUAUAGUCUGGAUGAAAGAAGAUACAA
rnacentral:ncRNA from 2 species